CUAUGUAUCAAGCAAAAUAUAACAAAGUUAAACUAAAUAAAUAUUAUAUGUAUCUUCUUUUUCCUUUUUUUUCUUUUCCUUUUUCUCUCUUA
rnacentral:ribozyme from 14 species